GUUCUGGACCCUGGGGCUCUUGCCCAUAGGGUGUUGCACUAACUGCCCCCAGCACCAUAUGCAUACAUAUAUGUACAUACACAUUUUAUAUGUGUGUCUAAGCUCCAGAGAAACGCUUUUGUUGCACUUCCUGGGGAUUAGUUUCCUACGUGCUCCUUCUUCAGUUAGUUUCCCUCCUGACUUCCAGCACAAGGGUUGUUUUGUCUUCUUUUUCAGACAACAGUGCCAGUUAAGGCAGGUCUGCACAAAGUUCCCUCUUUGCUCUUCACUGAAGCAAAGCUCCAUUAUUAUUACCAUUAUUUUAUGCAGUUUGGGCUAAGUAUGGAUGAGGAUUCCAGGACUGGAUCCAGGGCACCAAAUUUGCCUUGGUGUUGUAACUCAAUGCUGUGAAAACCUUUACAUGGCAGAGGCUGAACUAACAGGAACGUUGAUGUGUGGGUGAGGGCUUGCAAAAUGUGCAGCAGCUCUUUCAUAUGGAAUUUCUGUAACACAGAUGCAAGCUUAUGGGGUUUUCCUGCUGGCAAGUUGGUGGCACCUGUGUGUUACCAGAAGAGCUCUACGUGUAGGUCCACACAAGACUGAAACAGCAAUAUCCUUGUGCUACAUGGUUGGUGAGAUUACAGAUCACUGUUUCAUGCUGUGGGAAGGCAGUGGAGAAGGCGUUUGCAGUGCCAAGCGGAUCUUACUGGCAGACUGCUGAAACUGAUGAGGAAUACUUCCCUAAUGGCAGUGACGUCGAGGCCUGCAGAGACACCGACAGCAAGGUUGCCAUGGCAUUGCUGUUUGAAGCUGUCUCCCAAAGAUCCCUACCUACCCAUCACAUGUUGCAGCUGGUGCUCAGCUCUGGGCUGGAUGCCUGUGGACUCCACCUGCUCUGCUCUCGGCGUGUUGUGCUGCUCUCUGGCUCAGAAAAACUGCCUUCUUCCUAUGCUUCAGAGACCGACAAGGUGCUGGCAUUGGAUGUGAGAGGGCCUAAAGGAAUUAGCACCUUGCAGAAUAUCAUUGGGCCAUCUGACCCGCAGCUGGCUGGCAUGACAGACUGCAGUUCCAUCAAUGCCAUCUGCUGCACGAGGCACGCAGAGCCUCUUGUCUACCUGCCCCAGCAGGACAGCCGUGUGCGCAGGGAGCUGUGCCUCUGGUUUGGAGGGAGGGCUGCUGAUGCAGCACUGCAUGGUGGUAUCCUGGAUCCAACUUCCAGAUGCAACAGAACAAGAUCUCAGAGUCCUUCAUCAACUAGAGAUGAGGAAAAGGUUCAUCUCCAGGGCAUGGUGCAGUCUCAACCUCCAGCAAUGCUUGUCUCACCUACCAAUGGGGACAUCAUUUUGACAGUGUCACCUCUGGUGUCUCCUCACAUGUAUGGUAACGUGAUUUCAAUCUGUACUCAUCGAGGGUUUGCUCUGCAAGGAAUCAGACAGCUGCAGCUUUCACACAAGCAAGCCGUUGUGCUGAGCAUGACAACAAGUCAGAUUGCUGUAUUUUGCCCUGGCAAGAUUUCUAGUUUACCUGAGAACAGUUCUGCAGGAGGAGAGCUUUCUGCUGGACCACGCAUGCACUGUCUUGUCUUGCUGCUGAGAAAGGAGGAUGCUGGUUGUCAUAUUCUUGCAUUGGUAAAAGGACUGGUGAAUGAACUGGCAAAGCAAGGCCUCCUUGGUAACAGGCAGAGCAGCCUGCCUGCCACAGCCGGGCUGGACCCCUCCAUGUGCUUCCAUGUGGCUCCUUACACUGAGAACUUGCUGCAGAUGCUGGGAGGAAACUUCAGUGCCGUUCCAGACCCGUGUAGCAUUCCUCUGGAUUUCUUCUGCAACCGAAUGUUUGCUUCCGAUCCUGACAUGGAGCAGGUAGUCCUGCUGACACUGGUUGGAAUGGAUGCUAUCGACAGUGCUGGAGAGCUCCUUUGCCAGAUCCUUCUUCCUGGGAGCAAUCAUCAGCCUCAGAGUGCAGGAGGACCUGAUUCAGGGUUUGAGCUUCUAGGUCUCAAGUGGUUGCCCCACCUCACCCGACGUCAGGCAAAAGAAAUAACCCCUUUUGAGGUUGGAGAUGCAUGCUGGUGGAGAAGCCUCGAUACACUGAUGUCUAAUCCAGUCCUCGUGUGUGCGUUGCGGCGGAUCAAUGCCUUCCAAGUCCUUGGGGAUGCAUUAAAGAGAUUAACACAGUGCGGGGAGGAGCUAAGCGAAAGUAACAGAGCUCUGCAGAGGGUCAUGGCCUUGACCCCAGAGGUAGCAUUCAGACAAGCAAUCCUUUUCUUCACAGAGAAGGAUCUUGUAGCUGAUCCAGAACGCCGCCCUACUGCCAAAUACCUGCCACCACCUGGCAAGGCAUCCAGGGCUGGAGUGGAAGAGACACAGAGGGGCCAUGCAGAAUCACUGUUUGCCUACUUGCAUGCAGGAGCCCAGAUCCUCUGCACGGUGCUGCUGAUCAAACCCGGUGCCUGGAGCCAUCAUCUUGCGAGGAUCCUCCGAAAGCUUGACCUAGAAAGAUUCACCGUGGUUGGGAUGAAACACGUACACCUGGGGCCAGACAUCGCCGUACGACUCCUUUCUUCUGAAGCAAAGCAGGAUCCUGCUGUUCUAGAAGCUCACUGUACCUACCUUACCUCAGGCACUUCUCUCGUGCUGUGUCUUCAGAGACCAAAUGCUGUGAAGAAGCUGAUGGACAUGCUGGGGCCAGAGGACCCUGAAGUAGCCCAAGCACUAAAUCCAUGCUUCUGGAGGGCUCAGUAUGGCAUCAGCACUGUCCAAAAUGGAUUUUAUGGCUCCGGAUCCUACCAGGUAUCUGUCCGGGACGUCAGGCUGUUUUUCCCAGAAGGUCUGUGCUGUGCUGAGUGCCAGACGCUGGAGGAGGAGGAGAUGCAUAACCUGAAACGUGACCCCAUAGUCAGCGUGGAAAUCAACAAGCAGCGCAAAAUCACAAAACACGAAACAGGAGGGCAACUCGAUUUCCUGGGCUCUGAGCAGCCACGUGAUCUUGGUCGGCCAGCGCUCAGUAACCUCUGCCAAACCACCUGCCUCAUCCUGCCGGCCGUAAUCCUCUGGGGUUCGGACCCACCUUAUGUUGAACUGCUCGAUCAGCUUAUUGGCGAAGGUUUCACGGUGACUGGAGUACGCCUCACUGUGCUGGAUGCCCCACAAGCUCACUGCAUCUCAGAGAUACUGAGCAGGGCCAAGUGUGGUAUGGCAGCAAAGUGCUCCCUCCUAAUGGACGGUCUGUGCCUGGUGGUAGCAGCAGAGCGAGACAACGCGGUCAUUGGCUUCGGCUCCCUGCUGGACAGCCUGCGCUGGCAGAAGCAGUCGGUGCUGGACAUGGCGCAGCAUCUCCUCUAUCCCCAGAAUGAGAAACAGGCUGAAGAGCUGCUCUGUUGUCUUUUUGACUCCCUGACGUCUGACAGCACCUGCCGCAUCGAAUCCCAGAGCUGCUAG
ensembl:lncRNA